UGAGAGAAGUUGAGAUGGACUUGCCCCAA
rnacentral:piRNA from 1 species